GAUGAACGCUGGCGGCGUGCCUAAUACAUGCAAGUCGAGCGAACAGACGAGGAGCUUGCUCCUCUGACGUUAGCGGCGGACGGGUGAGUAACACGUGGAUAACCUACCUAUAAGACUGGGAUGACUUCGGGAAACCGGAGCUAAUACCGGAUAAUAUAUUGAACCGCAUGGUUCAAUAGUGAAAGACGGUUUUGCUGUCACUUAUAGAUGGAUCCGCGCCGCAUUAGCUAGUUGGUAAGGUAACGGCUUACCAAGGCAACGAUGCGUAGCCGACCUGAGAGGGUGAUAGGCCACACUGGAACUGAGACACGGUCCAGACUCCUACGGGAGGCAGCAGUAGUGAAUCUUCCGCAAUGGGCGAAAGCCUGACGGAGCAACGCCGCGUGAGUGAUGAAGGUCUUCGGAUCGUAAAACUCUGUUAUUAGGGAAGAACAAAUGUGUAAGUAACUAUGCACGUCUUGACGGUACCUAAUCAGAAAGCCACGGCUAACUACGUG
rnacentral:rRNA from 1 species